rnacentral:rRNA from 1 species
AUUGAACGCUGGCGGCAUGCUUUACACAUGCAAGUCGAACGGUAACAGGCCGCAAGGUGCUGACGAGUGGCGAACGGGUGAGUAAUGCAUCGGAACGUGCCCAGUCGUGGGGGAUAACGCAGCGAAAGCUGCGCUAAUACCGCAUACGAUCUAUGGAUGAAAGCGGGGGACCGAAAGGCCUCGCGCGAUUGGAGCGGCCGAUGUCAGAUUAGGUAGUUGGUGGGGUAAAAGCUCACCAAGCCAACGAUCUGUAGCUGGUCUGAGAGGACGACCAGCCACACGGGGACUGAGACAUGGCCCAGACUCCUACGGGAGGCAGCAGUGGGGAAUUUUGGACAAUGGGCGCAAGCCUGAUCCAGCAAUGCCGCGUGCAGGAAGAAGGCCUUCGGGUUGUAAACUGCUUUUGUACGGAACGAACCGGUCCGGGUUAAUACCCUGGGCUAAUGACGGUACCGUAAGAAUAAGCACCGGCUAACUACGUGCCAGCAGCCGCGGUAAAAC